rnacentral:rRNA from 1 species
AUUGAACGCUGGCGGCAGGCCUAACACAUGCAAGUCGAGCGGAGCGGCGGACGGGUGAGUAAUGACUAGGAAUCUGCCUGGUAGUGGGGGAUAACGUACGGAAACGGGCGCUAAUACAGCAUACUAACAGAUGAGACUAGGUCGGAUUAUCUAGUUGGUGGGGUAAAGACCUACCAAGGAGACGAUCCGUAACUGGUCGGAGAGGAUGAUCAGUCACACUGGAACUGUGACACGGUCCAGACUCCUACGGGAGGCAGCAUUGGGGAAUAUUGGACAAUGGGCGAAAGCCUGAUCCAGCCAUGCCGCGUGUGGGAAGAAGGUCUUCGGAUUGUAAAGCACUUUCAGCGAGGAGGCGUUACUCGCAGAAGAAGCACCGGCUAACUCCGUGCCAGCAGCCGCGGUAAUUC